GGAAGGCUGGCAGAGUGGUAAUGCAGCACAUUGCUAAUGUGUAAUACAGAAAUGUAUCGGAGGUUCGAGUCCUCCGUCUUCCGCAA
rnacentral:tRNA from 1 species